GCUUACGGCCAUUCAACCCUGAAUGUGCAGGAUCUCAUCUGAUCUCGUAAGUUAAGCAGGGUUAGGCCUGGUUAGUACUUGGAUCGGUGACCACCUGGGAAUACCAGGUGCUUGUAAGCU
ensembl:rRNA 5S_rRNA 5S ribosomal RNA